rnacentral:rRNA from 1 species
GAUGAACGCUGGCGGCGUGCCUAAUACAUGCAAGUCGAACGGUCGACUUCGGUCGAUAGUGGCGAAUGGGUGAGUAACGCGUUGGUGACCUACCCCGAAGAGUGGGAUAACAGCUCGAAAGGGCUGCUAAUACCCCAUGUGGUCACGAGGGUUAGAGUCCUUGUGACUAAAGAUGCAAAUCGCUUUGGGUGGGGCCUGCGUCCCAUCAGCUUGUUGGUAGGGUAAUGGCCUACCAAGGCUACGACGGGUAGGGGGCCUGAGAGGGUGGCCCCCCACACUGGCACUGAAACACGGGCCAGACACCUACGGGAGGCAG